GGGUUGUGAGGUUAAGCGACUAAGCGUACACGGUGGAUGCCCUGGCAGUCAGAGGCGAUGAAGGGCGUGCUAAUCUGCGAUAAGCGCCGGUAAGGUGAUAUGAACCGUUAUAACCGGCGAUACCCGAAUGGGGAAACCCAGUGUGAUUCGUCACACUAUCAUUAACUGAAUCCAUAGGUUAAUGAGGCGAACCGGGGGAACUGAAACAUCUAAGUACCCCGAGGAAAAGAAAUCAACCGAGAUUCCCCCAGUAGCGGCGAGCGAACGGGGAGGAGCCCAGAGCCUGAAUCAGCAUGUGUGUUAGUGGAAGCGUCUGGAAAGGCGCGCGAUACAGGGUGACAGCCCCGUACACAAAAGCGCAUGUGCUGUGAGCUCGAUGAGUAGGGCGGGACACGUGGUAUCCUGUCUGAAUAUGGGGGGACCAUCCUCCAAGGCUAAAUACUCCUGACUGACCGAUAGUGAACCAGUACCGUGAGGGAAAGGCGAAAAGAACCCCGGCGAGGGGAGUGAAAAAGAACCUGAAACCGUGUACGUACAAGCAGUGGGAGCACAGGUUUACCUGUGUGACUGCGUACCUUUUGUAUAAUGGGUCAGCGACUUAUAUUCUGUAGCAAGGUUAACCGAAUAGGGGAGCCGUAGGGAAACCGAGUCUUAACCGGGCGUUAAGUUGCAGGGUAUAGACCCGAAACCCGGUGAUCUAGCCAUGGGCAGGUUGAAGGUUGGGUAACACUAACUGGAGGACCGAACCGACUAAUGUUGAAAAAUUAGCGGAUGACCUGUGGCUGGGGGUGAAAGGCCAAUCAAACCGGGAGAUAGCUGGUUCUCCCCGAAAGCUAUUUAGGUAGCGCCUCGUGAAUUCAUCUCCGGGGGUAGAGCACUGUUUCGGCUAGGGGGCCAUCCCGGCUUACCAACCCGAUGCAAACUGCGAAUACCGGAGAAUGUUAUCACGGGAGACACACGGCGGGUGCUAACGUCCGUCGUGAAGAGGGAAACAACCCAGACCGCCAGCUAAGGUCCCAAAGUCAUGGUUAAGUGGGAAACGAUGUGGGAAGGCCCAGACAGCCAGGAUGUUGGCUUAGAAGCAGCCAUCAUUUAAAGAAAGCGUAAUAGCUCACUGGUCGAGUCGGCCUGCGCGGAAGAUGUAACGGGGCUAAACCAU
rnacentral:rRNA from 1 species